rnacentral:rRNA from 1 species
UACAGAGGGGGCGAGCGUUGUUCGGAAUUACUGGGCGUAAAGGGCGCGUAGGCGGCCCGCUAAGUCGAACGUGAAAUCCCCAGGCUCAACCUGGGAACUGCGUCCGAUACUGGCAGGCUUGAAUCCGGGAGAGGGAUGUGGAAUUCCAGGUGUAGCGGUGAAAUGCGUAGAUAUCUGGAGGAACACCGGUGGCGAAGGCGGCAUCCUGGACCGGUAUUGACGCUGAACAGCGAAAGCCAGGGGAGCAAACGGG